GAUGAACGCUGGCGGCGUGCUUAACACAUGCAAGUCGAACGGAGUAGCUCAUGACAGAGGAUUCGUCCAAUGGAUUGAGUUACUUAGUGGCGGACGGGUGAGUAACGCGUGAGGAACCUGCCUCGGUAGUGGGGGAUAACAGUCCGAAAGGUACUGCUAAUACCCCCAUAUGAGCUUGGUUGAAAUACCAAUCUUGAAAGUUCCGGCGCCCUAAGAUGAGACCUGCACCUGAUUAGCUAGUUGGUGGUGUAAUGGGACUACCAAGGCGAUGAUCAGUAGCUGGUUUGAGAGGAUGAUCAGCCACAAUGGGACUGAGACACGGCCCAG
rnacentral:rRNA from 1 species